rnacentral:rRNA from 1 species
AGAGAGAGACAUGCGCGCAUAUCAAUAAGCGGAGGAAAAGAAACUAACUAAGGAUUCCCUCAGUAACGGCGAGUGAAGCGGGAAGAGCUCAAAUUUGAAAUCUUAAAGGGUUUCCCUUUACGAAUUGUAGUUUAAAGAAGUGUUUUCUGUUGAGAUUUUGGUAAAAGUUCUUUGGAAUAGAACAUCAUAGAGGGUGAGAAUCCCGUAUUUGACCUUUACUUUCAACUUUGUGAUACACUUUCAAAGAGUCGGAUUGUAUGGGAAUGCAGUCCAAAAUGGGUGGUAAACUUCAUCUAAAGCUAAAUAUUGGCGAGAGACCGAUAGCGAACAAGUACCGUGAGGGAAAGAUGAAAAGAACUUUGAAAAGAGAGUUAAACAGUACGUGAAAUUGUCAAAAGGGAAGCGUUUGACACCAGUGUUGUUUUUCUGAAAAUCAAUUAAAGAACUGUUUAUGCUAAGUUGUUUAGACUUUAUCAGCUAACUGUUUAGUUUUGAGCUUUUCUUUAAUGCACUUUUCAGUUAACAAGUCAACAUCAAUUUCUUUUGCUGUAAAAAAGCUUGAGGAAGGUGGCUUGAGAUUCGUCUUAAGUGUUUAUAGCCUCUUGCCUAUGCAGUCGGAGAGAUUGAGGUCUGCAGCGUAGAUCCUUCGGGGCUAAAUGCAUUUGUGCUAAGUUAUAGCAUUUUAUAGACAACUUGUUGACUAUGAUUUGUCUUGUAGCUUACUCGCUUAUGUUAUUUUACCUACGCUUAGGAUGUUGAGCGCAUGUCUCUCUCU